ACACAUGCAAGUCGAACGAUGAUGCCCAGCUUGCUGGGUGGAUUAGUGGCGAACGGGUGAGUAACACGUGAGUAACCUGCCCCUGACUCUGGGAUAAGCGUUGGAAACGACGUCUAAUACUGGAUAUGAUCACUGGCCGCAUGGUCUGGUGGUGGAAAGAUUUUUUGGUUGGGGAUGGACUCGCGGCCUAUCAGCUUGUUGGUGAGGUAAUGGCUCACCAAGGCGACGACGGGUAGCCGGCCUGAGAGGGUGACCGGCCACACUGGGACUGAGACACGGCCCAGACUCCUACGGGAGGCAGCAGUGGGGAAUAUUGCACAAUGGGCGAAAGCCUGAUGCAGCAACGCCGCGUGAGGGAUGACGGCCUUCGGGUUGUAAACCUCUUUUAGUAGGGAAGAAGCGCAAGUGACGGUACCUGCAGAAAAAGCACCGGCCUAACUACGUGCCAGCAGCCGCGGUAAUACGUAGGGUGCAAGCGUUGUCCGGAAAUUAUUGGGCGUAAAGAGCUCGUAGGCGGUUUGUCGCGUCUGCUGUGAAAUCCCGAGGCUCAACCUCGGGCUUGCAGUGGGUACGGGCAGACUAGAGUGCGGUAGGGGGAGAUUGGAAUUCCUGGUGUAGCGGUGGAAUGCGCAGAUAUCAGGAGGAACACCGAUGGCGAAGGCAGAUCUCUGGGCCGUAACUGACGCUGAGGAGCGAAAGCGUGGGGAGCGAACAGGAUUAGAUACCCUGGUAGUCCACGCCGUAAACGUUGGGCGCUAGAUGUAGGGACCUUUCCACGGUUUCUGUGUCGUAGCUAACGCAUUAAGCGCCCCGCCUGGGGAGUACGGCCGCAAGGCUAAAACUCAAAGGAAUUGACGGGGGCCCGCACAAGCGGCGGAGCAUGCGGAUUAAUUCGAUGCAACGCGAAGAACCUUACCAAGGCUUGACAUACACCGGUAACGGCCAGAGAUGGUCGCCCCCUUGUGGUCGGUGUACAGGUGGUGCAUGGUUGUCGUCAGCUCGUGUCGUGAGAUGUUGGGUUAAGUCCCGCAACGAGCGCAACCCUCGUUCUAUGUUGCCAGCGCGUUAUGGCGGGGACUCAUAGGAGACUGCCGGGGUCAACUCGGAGGAAGGUGGGGAUGACGUCAAAUCAUCAUGCCCCUUAUGUCUUGGGCUUCACGCAUGCUACAAUGGCCGGUACAAAGGGCUGCGAUACCGUAAGGUGGAGCGAAUCCCAAAAAGCCGGUCUCAGUUCGGAUUGAGGUCUGCAACUCGACCUCAUGAAGUCGGAGUCGCUAGUAAUCGCAGAUCAGCAACGCUGCGGUGAAUACGUUCCCGGGCCUUGUACACACCGCCCGUCAAGUCAUGAAAGUCGGUAACACCCGAAGCCGGUGGCCUAACCCUUGUGGAAGGAGCCGUCGAAGGUGGG
rnacentral:rRNA from 1 species